rnacentral:rRNA from 1 species
UACAGAGGGUGCAAGCGUUGCUCGGAAUUAUUGGGCGUAAAGGGUAGGUAGGUGGUCUCAUUUGUGUGGGGUGAAAGCCUUGGGCUUAACUCAAGAAGUGCCCCGCAAACGGUGAGACUGGAGUACUGGAGAGGCUAGCGGAAUCCCCGGUGUAGCGGUGAAAUGCGUAGAGAUCGGGAGGAACACCAGAGGCGAAGGCGGCUAGCUGGACAGUUACUGACACUCAACUACGAAAGCGUGGGGAGCAAACAGG